AGACAGCAGCAGCCGCGGUAAUACGUAGGGCGCAAGCGUUAUCCGGAAUUAUUGGGCGUAAAGAGCUCGUAGGCGGUUUGUCGCGUCUGCCGUUAAAGUCCGGGGCUCAACCCCGGAUCUGCGGUGGGUACGGGCAGACUAGAGUGAUGUAGGGGAGACUGGAAUUCCUGGUGUAGCGGUGAAAUGCGCAGAUAUCAGGAGGAACACCGAUGGCGAAGGCAGGUCUCUGGGCAUUAACUGACGCUGAGGAGCGAAAGCAUGGGGAGCGAACAGGAUUAGAUACCCCAGUAGUCCCUGUCUCUUAUAC
rnacentral:rRNA from 1 species